rnacentral:rRNA from 1 species
UACAGAGGUCUCAAGCGUUGUUCGGAUUCAUUGGGCGUAAAGGGUGCGUAGGCGGCGCGGUAAGUCGGGUGUGAAAUUUCGAGGCUUAACUUCGAAACUGCAUUCGAUACUGCCGUGCUUGAGGACUGGAGAGGAGACUGGAAUUUACGGUGUAGCGGUGAAAUGCGCAGAUAUCAGGAGGAACACCAAUGGCGAAGGCAGCUCACUGGGACGGUAUUGACGCUGAGACGCGAAAGCGUGGGGAGCAAACAGG